GGUAGACGAUCGGCUGGAUCUUCGGAUCUCCCCGAUAUGAACCUUCCCGUGCUUUUUAGAACAUAGAUGGCACCAGUCAGGUGACUAUCGAAACGUAAUACGCCGCGAUGACCUCGGUCACGACGGUAUGGCGAGCUUUCGCCGUCCACGUUUCUCUUUCUUCAAAAGGAUAUCGAACCAUGGGUUUGCGCUCGCGCGCUGUUCGCACCUUCGGUGCUGCGCUCCGCGAGGGCGCCGGACGACCGGCGACGGCCUCUGGCCUGUAUGGGCGACCCUUUCCGAGGUUUUGCUUAGGAUUGGCGUCGACGCAGAGAGAUGGGCCCGUAGCUCAGUUGGUUAGAGCACACGCUUGAUAAGCGUGGGGUCGGAAGUUCAAGUCUUCCCGGGCCCACCAUUUGCACCAGCAAAUGAGGUUUGCUGUAGCGAAUUGUGGUUUGUUUGGGUUUACCUGAUCCUGGCGGUUUGCUGUCAGGUGUUUGCGAUGGUUGGGGCUGUAGCUCAGCUGGGAGAGCACCUGCUUUGCAAGCAGGGGGUCAGCGGUUCGAUCCCGCUCAGCUCCACCAAUUCGCUUGGUGUCGAGACUGAGAGAGAUAUCCUUUGAAGAAAUAAAAGUUUUGCAUCGGCUUAUGGCUGGUGCUUGUUCUGCAUACAUUGUGAAGAGAAGAUUGAUCUGGAGGCUUCCAGGUGUCGGGUUCUGCCCUCUGGGUUAAACUUGCCGUCCGAGCCCAGUUCUGAUGAUCCCAUGGAUGGCCUAGCCGGCCGGAUAUGGGUGAAGGACUGGAGGUAGGUAGGAAGCUUGUCACUCUGGAUCGUUUGUUGUUCGUUGCCUUUGGGCAUCGUGCUGAUGAACGAUCGGAUUACCGUUGCUCGACCGCGCGGUAUCGGAUCAUAUCUCGAGAAGCUGGUCUUAAGACAGGCUGCAAGCGAGCUGCUCGGUGUAGCUCCAAUAAAGCAGCCCUGUCGAACACGUUAAUGGCAUUGUUGGAUUGAUUGGGUUGUAAAAGGUAACCCGGUCAGUGGCCGCUCCAUAUGGAGCGGGCAACGAGACGAUGAGCAUUGGCAAUGAGAACGAUUAAGUGUCGUAAGGGCAUUUGGUGGAUGCCUUGGCAUGCACAGGCGAUGAAGGACGUGAUACGCUGCGAAAAGCCGUGGGAGCUGCGAA
rnacentral:misc_RNA from 1 species